rnacentral:rRNA from 1 species
GACGUAGGAGGCGAGCGUUAUCCGGAUUCACUGGGCGUAAAGCGCACGUAGGCGGAUUGCUAAGUCAGGGGUGAAAUCCUGGAGCUCAACUCCAGAACUGCCUUUGAUACUGGCGAUCUUGAGUCCGGGAGAGGUGAGUGGAACUCCGAGUGUAGAGGUGAAAUUCGUAGAUAUUCGGAAGAACACCAGUGGCGAAGGCGGCUCACUGGCCCGGUACUGACGCUGAGGUGCGAAAGCGUGGGGAGCAAACAGG